GAUAAACGCUGGCGGCAUGCCUAAUACAUGCAAGUGGAACGAUUUACUUCGGUAAGUCGUCGCGAACGGGUGAGUAACACGUAGAUAACCCGCCUUAUAGAGGGGGAUAACCAUUGGAAACGAUGGAUAAUACCGCAUAAAUACCUCCUAGGCAUCUAGGAGAGUAGAAAGGAGCAAUUGCUUCGCUAUGAGAUGGAUCUGCGGCGCAUUAGCUAGUUGGUGAGGUAACGGCCCACCAAGGCGAUGAUGCGUAGCCGGCCUGAGAGGGUGAACGGCCACAUUGGGACUGAGACACGGCCCAG
rnacentral:rRNA from 1 species